GGUGUACAAGAUGAAGAUGCCAUAGAAGUCUACUGCUCAGUACUCAUGACUACUUAUGUCAAGUGCAGCAGAAAAACGAUGAACUUGACAUUCAAAAAAAUUUUUUUUUCUGUUUUUUGUGCUUGUUGGAGGGUACUUUUUGGAGAGAAGGCAUGGAGGAUAGGACAGGCUUAUGGGACUGCGCUGGGGGCCAGGAGGGGAGGAAGCAGAUUGACGGGGCUCAGCUCUACAGCUGGGGAGGGCCCCACAGCCUCAGAGAGACCUCCGCGGGGGAGCCAGGACCUGGGGGCUCCCAGCUUCCUCCUGACAUUUCCCCAAAGCCACUGCUGGAUGGCGAGGUGACCCCCCCUCCCGGCCUGGGAUUCAGGAUCCCACUGAGGGUCUGACAGCCAGAACUCCCGGAAAAGGGUGGAGCCAGAAGAGCCCGGCCCCAGCUCCCCCCGCCCGCCCGGUGGUCACAGGAUGCAGGGGGAGAAUCUGGUGGCCACGGGGUUAGUGGCUCCAGAUGUCACCUCGCUGAGGGAAACCUGACGCUAGUGGGGCCACCAUCCCCAGGAGCCAUGAGAGCCGCGCCUGUCCUGUGGCUGGCCGUCCUGCUGUGCCAGGAGCGAGCGCGGAGCCUGCUGUGCUACACCUGCCCCGGGGCGCCCAGCGACAGCCUGUGCCCACCCACCCAGUGCCUGAGGCCUGGCAUCUGCUUCGACAGUAACAUAACCACGACCUCGAGCGGUGGUGAGUCCCCAGCACCCAGAGCCCGGGGGCGGCUCGGGGAGCUGUGCUUGAGGCUCCCCCAGCCAAUCAGAGGAGUGUGGGUUUGGCAGGGGCUAGGGUCCCGCCUGCCUCAGUGUCCCCAUCCACGCAGAGAGGGGCUGGCCUUCCUGGGGAGCCGAUGGGACUGCACAGAGGAUUGGGGGGCCAUGCGCCCCAGGGAGUGGGUGACCCAGGAUGACUCCAGGAGGGUGGGAGGGCACCUCUCACACCGGGGCUCCUUGCCCACAGGAAUGCAGGUGAGGUCAAAGUACAAGGGGUGUGCUCCCUCCUGCAAGGAAGCUAAGGAGACCCUGCAGUGGAUUUUCCGGAUGAGUAGCCUGGACCAGCUGGACCAGCUGGACCCCAGCCUACCCAAGUCUGAACUGCAGAGUUUGACGUGCUGUGAAAAGGACCUCUGUAAUAGGGGGGCGCAGGCCCUGGGCCCCUGCGGGGGGCUGCUGCUCAGCCUAGCACCCGCCUCCCUCUGGGCCCUGCUGUGAGCAGCCCUGACCCCAGCACAGAGGGCAGACUUCCACGCAGCGUGCACACGAAGCAAGCUCGCUGCCCCGCACACUCACGCACUCGCAAGCGCACACGCGGACACUGCAGACCCUGUAGACCCUCAGCCGCUCCCGCCCAACCUCCCUGGCACCCAGUGCCCUGCUAGGCCAACAGGCCUGUCCCCCUUUGCAGACACCAUCAGUUAACCACUGACCCAAGAUGCAGAGCCUGUCGCGCCCUGGCCCUGACCAGACGUGACCUCUAGGACAGCAAAGCCCACAGCCCAGCCCGGGGACGGCCAACACUGUGCCAGCCGGGGCCGGAGAGAAUAAACACUUUCGACAUCGUCCUGUUCUUGGCUUGCAGUUCUGCCCCACGAGGGGAGGGUGGGUGGCGCCUGGGGCCUGCCUGGGAGGGGGACUUCCCUACCUCUUGGUUUUCCCUCAGCCAGGGGGGGCGCCCAUGGCCCCAGGGUCUAGGAGCAGUGGUCAAUUCUGGAGCCCCCCCCUCCCGCGAGGCACAGUAGGGU
rnacentral:lncRNA from 1 species